UCUUGAAAUGAAAAAUAAAUUCUUGGAGUUCUACUGUCGGCCGUAAUAAUUAUUUAAAUAUUCAGUGGAGUUUUACUGUCGGGUGUUGGGAUUCUACUGUCGGGUGUCGUGGUUCUACUGUCGGGUGUUGGAGUUCUACUGUCGGGCAUUAAAUAUCAUAUUUAAGCAUCACAUUCAGAAAGGCUACACCUACGCCAUUGUCAACGACGUAAACAUUCACAAGCAGCUGGAACAUAAGCUAAAUUGUUUCGGAUACUGUACCAGGAGAGGUGGGCAAACGCGAGAGGAAAGAACUGUGCCAAGUUUCAAUUCUUAUCCUCACUUCUGCCGCUAGGUUCUCUAGUGUGAGUGGCCCUCAAAUCUGGCGCCAAGUUUAACCAUUGUGGAUAAAGCAUCGUGGUUUAAGGGUGUUUUAGUUCAGUAACAAUAAAAUUAACACAAUGCUAGUUUCUAAUAACGUAAAAUCAAUUACAAUUUAUUGAUUUUUUUCAGAAAUAUGGUUAAUUUUUGAAAAACCUUAAGGCAUUUUUUUUUAGGUCUAGACUUACCCAACCCUGCCCUGCCGUGUCCAUCACCCCGUCUACCCUCCUCCUUAAAAAAAAAAAAAACCCGCUACCCCGCCAAUAGGUGGCUUAAAAAAAUUAAAUCGGUGUUCGGAUUUUUGUGCAGGAUACUGUACAUUGUUAUUAUAUAUAAAUUUUAUCCUAUAACCUAUAAUAGAUAACAUAUAAAGGAUUACAAAAUUUUAAAUGAUAUAUCUGAAUAAUACCGACGGAGAAUGCGGAAGAUCUUCCUCGUUAUGGUGGAAAUUACUAGGUCACAUAUAAUAUUUACAUAUUAUAUGCAUAUAAAAUAUUUAUAUAUAGUAUCCAUAUAUAAUAUUUAUAUAUAUUAUUUUUAUGUAUAAUAUUUAUGUACAUUUAGACAAUCAUGCGUGCUAGUUUCUUGGGAGCGAGACUUUAGACCCCUUCGACAUAAGACCCCAGGGGGGGUCGACCGUAGACCCCCACGUUGCGACGCAAGACCCCCAACAUUUAAAAAAAAUAUUUGUAUUUGUUAAUUAAUGGACAACGCAAAACCCCUAGCCCCCGACGCAAGGUCCCUGUAUUUUUCGCCAUUAAAUAUUAUCCCGACUAAUUAUUAUUAGCCAACUAAUAGUUGGCUUACAAAAAUUUGCUAUCUUAAGUUGAAAAAGACAAGUUCAAAAUAUUUCUUAAGAAAAAAAGGUGAGUUGAGAAAAGCUAGAAUACGGUUUUAGGUAAAUCCAAGCAUAAAUUGGAUUUUUAAGCAAAAAACAGUAAGUUAAGAAAGAAUUCCGUGCUUAAGUCAAGGCUAGAAUACGGCCCCUGUAGUAUUCUAUUACCAGAGUAAUAGAAUACUGGUGUAGCCACGGCCAUGUUAACUCCCCCUCUCGGAUUUUUUCCCAAAAGUUGUUGCCAAUUUCGCGUAUCGAUUGUGAGAGAACGAGGC